rnacentral:lncRNA from 1 species
CUCCCCUUCUUCAAAUUUUGGAACUCAUUGUUCAGAUCAAUCAGGUCUAUCUCUGAACAGUACUGCGCCUUCAGUUGUUCCAAGAACUCAUCCCAUGACAUUUUCAGAGCUUCUCCCCGUGGCAUUGUAUCUGCCAAUAGCUUCCACCAGCUCAAGACUCCAGUUUUCAAUUGUCUCACAGCGAAGACAGUCUUCUGCUUCUCGCUGCAGUCGCAGCUCUCAAACACCAUCUCCAUCUCGGAGAUCCAGUCCAUAAUCUCAACAGGCUUUGGGCUUCCUGAGAGACUUGGUGGUUUCGCACCCAAGAAAUUUUUGUACAUCCGCCCAUCCUUGUUGUUUCUCCCUUCUGGGCCAUCCUUUUGCUCACCUUGAGUCCCUACUUGACUCACUUGGCGGCUAUAGUUCCCUUCCUCAGAUGGCUCGGGAACUGGCUCCGUCGGUUCAACAUGUAUGGUAGGUUCGUCCCUAUUUUCGUGGAGCAUCCGUCUCAUUUCUUCCCUUUGUUCAGCUAGCAUAGCCUGAAUCAUGGCUUGAACUCCAGCCAUGGUGACUGGCUCAGGUGCAACUUCUUCAACAACAGGUAUUUGCUGAACCACUGGGGGUUGGUUCCUACCUCCAUUUGCGUUCACGUUUCCGCUACGGGUCCUUGCCAUCUUGAUCUAUACACCGAAUAAGGUGAAUUUAGAUCUUUAUUUAGGAUAGACGUUUUAAAUCGUCCUUAUCACUCCGAAACGUUUACAUGCUAGUUCUAAUAUCGUAGUCGUACGUUUAGAAUCCUAAACACAUAAGGUUUCCAGAUCCGGUCGGCAACAGACCAUAGAUCCGAACAAUUAACAGCAUAUUAUGCACAAAGCAUUUAGCACAUAAAAGCAUUUUAGGCACAAUUCCUAAAAUAAGCUAGUGCUCACACCUCACAAUCAUCGCUUAGCAUUCUAAGUUUAAGUCUAGAAAUCCUACAAAUUCCUAGUUCGCUUAAACUAAUGCUCUGAUACCAACUGUGACAUCCCCAAAAUCACGGCCAGAAAAGACCGGUUUGUUUAUGCUUUGUUUAAAAAUCAGAGUUACAUUUUAAAUGAAAGUGUUGCGGAAUUUGUCCCAAAACAAAAAUAUGAUAAAGAUUUAUCAAAAGCAUUUCCAUAGAAAUGUAUUUCAUUAAAAGACUCGGGAUGUCAUGUUCGUACAGAUCAAAAGCAUAAACAGUACAAUAUAAGCCUUACUACAUUAUUUCAUAUCUACAGGCCUAUAUCCGUAAUCCCUCGUCCAAAACAUCACACCUAUGCUCAUGCGCCACUACCUGUAAUACAUAAAACUGAGUGGGUCAGGCUUGGGAGCCUGGUGAGCACAUAGGGUUUUCAACCCACAAUAAAUAAGUUUAUUAAUUUCAUCGAUCAACAAUAACCCGAUUACCCGUUCCCGUUAUCCUCACUUUACGUCCCUAAACACCUAUCAUAAGGGACCUAGCCUAAGGAUCAUCAUCGGGACGGACACUACUGCUAAGGGGAUUCCUCAGCAAUAAAUGUCCUAAAGGCAACCAUGUGGGGGAUGGAGUACACCGGUGAACAUAUCGUUCACAAACACCUACAGGUUGCGAGCCUGCUAGUGUUCCACUGGACUGUCUAGAAGAGUCCGUGGUCGUCAUCCAUACUCCGCUAGAUGACAGAAUCAACAACAUCAACAUCGAGGCCUCUCAUCAUUUUAUCACACAUCACCUAUUGCAUCUACCCAUGUUUUACCCCAACAUUUUCGUAGAUAUAAAAUACAUAUACAGUUUAAAUCAUUGAAAACAUGUAUAACAACGUUCAUCUAGCAUAGAUAGCAAGUAUUCAGAUAAUAUGCACACAUAGCACGUAAUUUAUAUAAAAUACUUCAUAUCUAUGUGUAAGUUGAAAGUAACUAUGCACUCACUUGUUAAGGUGAUGAUUCCAAAAUCGGGCAGCGCUUGCUUCUAACGAUUCUAUUUUCCUUCGACGAAACCUAGCAUUAUUAUCGCUAAAUUUUAGUCUAAUAUUUACCGUGACCAACUAUUAGUCUUAGUAUUAUUAUUAUUAUAUAAGCGUUAAACAAUAUUUUCCAACCACUAUGUACAGACAGGGGCCAGACAUAAAACACCGGAGGGCAGGACCAUUUUGGCAUAUAGCACUUCUGAAAUCCAACAACCCUAUGCGGCCCUUUAAACCAGAUUCCCCGUACCGCGAGUAGUUAAAAAAAAAUUUAUAACGACACUUAUAUAAGUUAUAAUAAUAGCUCAAAUAUUUAUUAUAAGUUCAUAAUAACAAUACUAAUUUUAAAUAUAAGCUAUAUUAAAAUAAGGUAAGCAUAACUUACUUACAAGGGGGUUUUAGCUAGGAGUCGGGCUCUGCAGGGGCAGAACUUCGUCGCUGAAUCUUUCUAAGAAAGAUUCGUGCAGCGCUUCAGCGCUCACCUUACUAUACUAAGCUACAGAAAGAGAAGUCGAAUCACGAGGGACCGAAAUGCUCGGGGGAUAAGGAGAGAAAGACUCUUGAAUCAAGAGAAUGGUGCAAGAAAUAUGAGAGCCCAAGGCUCUUAUUUAUACUAAUUGAAUUUUCAAAAACUACCCUCCAUAAUUACUUAAUGACCUUUUAGUUAUAUAAACAACUAAACACCCCUCUAUAAUACUAUUAUAAAUGGAUUUAAUGAUAUUUGUACUAAACUAAUGUCGAAAGAACUCAACAUUAGUCUUAUAAUGACCGCAUCGUCGAUACCUUUCUAAUGAUAUAUACAUAUGUAUAUAUAUGUGUACGUAUACAUGAUUUAUACUUUAUUUUAAUACGUAAAUAUGCUAUUAUAAUUUGUAACUCGUUCAUACGAACUCCGUUUUUGACGUUCUUUAUAUCCACGCGUAGGUGAAGACGUACUCUACAACUUUCGUUUAGACUCCGUCGGCUAAUUUUGACUUUAUUUUUAAAGUUAUAUUUUUAACAAGCCGGGACAGGAUUGGUCUGUUUAAAAUCUCAUAACUUCUUCAUACGAAGUCAGAUUUGGGCGUUCUUUUUAUCGAUGUUCUUAGUUUAACAUAUUCUACGACUUUCGUUUAGAUCACUAAGGCUAAAUCUCGCUCUAUCGUAAAUUCACUAUUCACGCUUCCCGGUAUCGUGCCGGUUCUGUCGUGAAACUUCGACGGGUCAUAACUUCUUCGUUAUAACUCGGAUUUCGGCGUUCCUUAUAUGCACGGAAACCUUGAGACAUAUUCUACAACUUUAUGUAGAGAUAUCGGGAUUAUCUCACACUUUAAUUUUGACGCUCAUUUUUAUUCUUUAUUAAUUAUACAUUUAUAAUUAAAUAAUAAACACAUAUAAUUCACAUAAUACUCAAAUAUUUCAUCUUUAUUACUUCAAAAAGAGUUACAAGAGUUGACCUAGACUAUUACAUUGACAAAAAUGCUUAGCCCUGAAACCCGGGCGUUACAAUUCUCUCCCCCUUAGGAUGAUUCCGUCCCGGAAUCAUGCAUCAGCAAACAGAUGUGGAUAGCGACUCAUCAUGUCAUCCUCUGUUUCCCAAGUGAGAUUCGGCCCAUUCGAAUGUUUCCAUCGGACUAGCACCAAGUCGACCAUCUUGCGUCGUAACUUCUUAGUCUUACGGUCAACAAUUGCCUCAGGCUCUUCGAUCAACCUUUUAUUUUCAUCCAUCCUUAACUCUGAGAUUGGAAUUAUGUCGGGAACAUCUCCCGUGAAUUUCCUCAAAUAACACACAUGGAAGGUGUUAUGAAUACCAUUGAGUUCUUCGGGCAAUUCCAGCUUGUAAGCUUGGUUCCCUAUCUUCUGAAGAACUUUGAACGGUCCAAUAAACCUUGGACUCAACUUUCCUCGUUUCCCAAAUCGUAUAAGUCCCUUCCACGGUGAGACUUUAAGCAAAACGGAAUCCCCAACUUCGAAAGUUAUCGGUCGUCUUUUCUUGUCAGCAUAGCUCUUCUGACGAUCCUGGGCUGCUAACAUCCUUUCCCUAAUCACCUUCAACUUCUCAGCAGUCUCAUGGACUAUCUCGGGGCCCAUAAACUGCUUCUCUCCGGCUUCAAGCCAACAAGACGGCGUACGACACUUCUGCCCAUACAAGGCUUGAUAAGGAGCCAUCUUGAUGCUCGAGUGAAAACUAUUGUUGUAGGAAAAUUCUACCAGAGGUAAGUGCUCGUCCCAAUUCCCUUGGAAUUCGAGGGUACAUGCUCUCAGCAUAUCUUCCAGCGUCUGAAUCGUUCUUUCGCUCUGACCAUCAGUUUGCGGAUGAUAAGCAGUACUCAAACACAACUUUGUACCUAACUCCUCUUGUAGACUCCUCCAAAACCUUGACGUGAAACGACUAUCACGAUCUGAUACAAUCGUAAGAGGGACACCGUGAAGUCUUACAAUUUCCUUCACGUAAGCAUUUGCGAGCUUAUCCAUAGACCACUUCUCGUUGGCUGCUAUGAAGUGUGCACUCUUGGUGAAACGAUCCACGACUACCCAAAUCAUGUCGUGACCGUUCUUCGUCCUGGGCAGUUUAGUCACAAAAUCCAUGGUGAUGUCUUCCCAUUUACCCAUGGGUACAGGUAAAGGUUCUAAACUCCCAUACGGUUUCUGAUGUUGUGCCUUAACCCUCGCACAUGUUACGCACUCGGCCACAUACUUCGCAACAUCGAGCUUCAUCGUCGGCCACCAGUAGUAGGGUUUUAGGUCCCUAUACAUUUUAGUGCUACCGGGAUGAAUCGAGUACAUGGUCUUGUGUGCUUCUUCCAUCAGAAGAUCUCUUAUUCCUCCCGUCUUAGGUACCCAAAUUCGAUCUUGGAAUACCUUCAGUCCUCGACUGUUUGUACCGAACACUAACGUUCUUCCCAAACGUUCUUCCUUUCGGUCAUUUUUCUCUAAAGCUUCUUCUUGAGCUUUCCUGAUACUUUCCACAAUCGUCGAGACGACUUCAAUUCUUAACGCUCUUGGCCUUUUCCUUUCCAGAUUGACUUUCCGACUGAGAGCAUCAGCAACAAUAUUUGCUUUACCUGGGUGGUAAAGUAUCUCACAGUCGUAGUCCUUGAGAAGUUCUAGCCAGCGUCGUUGCCUCAUGUUCAACUCCUUCUGAUUAAAGAGAUACUGGAGACUCUUAUGAUCAGUGAAGAGCUUGCACUUCGUGCCGUAGAGGUAAUGCCUCCAUAUCUUUAAGGCAAAAACUACCGCUGCCAACUCCAGAUCAUGAGUGGGGUAGUUCUUUUCGUGCUCUUUCAAUUGUCGAGAUGCGUAUGCUAUCACCUUUUCUCUUUGGGUCAGAACACAACCCAACCCGACUCCAGAAGCGUCACUAUAAACCGCGAAAUCUUCGACUCCAUCGGGUAGAGAAAGUAUCGGUGCUUCACAUAACUUCUUCUUUAGCUUCUCGAAUGCCUCAUCGUGUUUCUCACUCCACGUAUACGUAGCUCCUUUAUGAGUCAAAGCUGUUAAUGGAGCAGCUAUCGAAGAAAAGCCUUGGAUAAAUCGUCGAUAAUAUCCGGCUAAUCCUAGAAAGCUUCGAAUCUCCGUGGGACUCUUUGGACGUUCCCACUUCAUUACAGCCUCGAUCUUUGCGGGGUCAACCAUUAUUCCCUCCUGGUUAACAACAUGACCCAAGAAUUGGACUUCCCGUAUCCAAAAGUCGCAUUUGGAGAACUUUGCAAAAAGCUUCUCCUUCUUCAACACUUCUAAUACUUCCCGUAGAUGCUUGCCAUGCUCCUCUUGGCUUUUCGAGUAGAUGAGAAUGUCGUCGAUGAACACUAUCACGGAUUUAUCGAGGAAUGGUUUACAAACCCUAUUCAUCAAAUCCAUGAAUGCUGCGGGAGCAUUGGUUAGCCCGAAUGACAUAACCAAGAACUCGUAGUGUCCAUAUCUCGUUCUGAAUGCAGUCUUCUCAAUAUCCUGCUUUCUCACCUUUAGCUGAUGAUAUCCUGACCUAAGAUCGAUCUUUGAGAAGUAGCUCGAACCUUGCAGCUGAUCGAAUAGGUCAUCAAUCCUCGGCAAUGGAUACUUGUUCUUCACCGUUGCCUUAUUCAGCUCUCGGUAGUCUAUACACAUUCUCAUACUUCCGUCCUUCUUCUUCACGAAUAACACCGGAGCUCCCCAGGGUGAUGAACUAGGUCGAAUAAAACCGUUGUCCAACAGCUCCUGAAGUUGCGUCAUGAGCUCCUUCAUCUCCGUCGGUGCUAAUCGGUAAGGUGCCUUUGCUAUCGGUGUUGUUCCUGGUAACAAGUCUAUACGAAACUCCACUUGCCUAUCAGGUGGUAAUCCGGGAAGAUCUUCGGGAAAGACUUCCGGAUAAUCACACACAACCGGUAUAUUCUGCACCUCUUUCUUCUCCUUCUUGGCAUCGAUUACGAAUGCCAAGUAUGAUGCACAUCCUUUGGACAAACAUUUCCUGGCUUUCAUCAGGGAGAUGAUUCCAGAAUUCACUCUGCGUUUGUCCCCAUACACCAUAAAUGAUUCUUUUCCGGGUGGGUUUACCUUUACUAUCUUCUUUCGGCAUUGAAUCUCAGCAUCGUUGGCGCUAAGCCAAUCCAUACCCAAAACGAUGUCGAAACCGUUUAACUCUAUGGGUAAUAGCUCUUCGUGGAAUUCGUUUCCGUUUAGGUCAAUGACGAUGUUCCUAAUACGAUUACUAACAGGUACGAAUUUGCCACUGGCAACUUCUACAAUCAGGGCAUUAUCUAGUUUUUCUACAGGCAAUGCUAAUUUCCCACCAAAUUUAUGCGACACAAAGGAGUAGUUGGCUCCGGAAUCAAAUAGUAUAUUUGCAGGCAAACCAUUUACAAGAAAGGUACCUGAAGCGACGUCUGCUGCCUCCUUUGCAGCCUCGAGCGUCAUCUGGAAGGCUCUCGCCUUCGGCUUCGGUGGUAUGUUGGGUCUUCCUGUCUCCUUCUUCUUCGGGCAGUCCUUCAAAAUGUGCCCUUCUUCAUUGCACCCAUAACAGGCUUUCUGGUUGAGGGUGCAUUCAUUGGCGUAGUGCCCAGGCUUUCCGCACUUGUAACAAGUGACCCCUCCGUCACACUUCCCAGAGUGCUUCUUCUUGCACUUGUCACACCACUUCGCUUCUGAUCCUCCUCCCCUCGAACCAGACUUCGAGAAUCUACUCUUCUUGUUGGACUUCGAGGAUCCAUUGAACUUCCGUUUCUCACCAACCUCAGCCCUCUCCAGACCUCUUUCCUUUUGUUGGGUCUCCAUAUUCUUAGCUGCUCGAACAGCUGAUUUCAGAGUGGUUGCCAUCUUGACUGUUGGGCCAAAGUCAGCCGGCAGUCCGUUUGCGAAUUUCUCAAUUUUGGAAAGUUCGGUUGGCACUAGGUAUGGAAACAACUUCAUCUUUUCCGUAAAUGCAGCAGCAUAGUCAUCGAUGCUCAUUCUCCCCUUCUUCAAAUUUUGGAACUCAUUGUUCAGAUCAAUCAGGUCUAUCUCUGAACAGUACUGCGCCUUCAGUUGUUUCAAGAACUCAUCCCAUGAUAUUUUCAGAGCUUCUCCCCGUGGCAUUGUAUCUGCCAAUAGCUUCCACCAGCUCAAGACUCCAGUUUUCAAUUGUCUCACAGCGAAGACAGUCUUCUGCUUCUCGCUGCAGUCGCAGCUCUCAAACACCAUCUCCAUCUC